rnacentral:rRNA from 1 species
CUGGCGGCGUGCCUAACACAUGCAAGUCGAACGAGUAAUGAUUCGUUGUUAACUUAGUGGCGAACGGGUGAGUAACGCGUGAACAACCUGACCCAAAGAGGGGGAGUAACAUUUGGAAACAGAUGCUAAUACCGCAUAAGACCACAACGUCACAUGGCGAAGGGGUCAAAGGAGCAAUCCGCUUUGGGAGGGGUUCGCGUCCCAUUAGGUAGAUGGCGGGGUAACGGUCCACCAUGCCAACGAUGGGUAGCCGAGCUGAGAGGCUGAUCGGCCACACUGGAACUGAGACACGGUCCAGACUCCUACGGGAGGCAGCAGUGGGGAAUAUUGCGCAAUGGGGGAAACCCUGACGCAGCGACGCCGCCGUGAGCGAAGAAGGCCUUCGGGUUGUAAAGCUCUGUUGUAAGGGACGAAUGUCUAGGGUAGUAACUGACCUUAGAAUGACGGUACCUUACCAGCAAGCCCCGGCUAACUACGUGCCAGCCGCAGC